CAUCGAGGAUAGAUGAAAGGUGGCCUCUACAUGUAAAGCUAUCACUGAAGGAGGGGAUUGCGUCUGAUUAGCUAGUUGGAGGGGUAACGGCCCACCAAGGCGAUGAUCAGUAGCCGGUCUGAGAGGAUGAACGGCCACAUUGGGACUGAGACACGGCCUUGACUCCUACGGGAGGCAGCAGUGGGGAAUCUUCCGCAAUGGACGAAAGUCUGACGGAGCAACGCCGCGUGAGUGAUGACGGCCUUCGGGUUGUAAAGCUCUGUUAAUCGGGACGAAAGGCCUUCUUGCGAAUAGUGAGAAGGAUUGACG
rnacentral:rRNA from 1 species